UACGUAGGGGGCAAGCGUUGUCCGGAAUCAUUGGGCGUAAAGAGCGUGUAGGCGGCUCGGUAAGUCCGCUGUGAAAGUCCAGGGCUCAACCCUGGAAUGCCGGUGGAAACUGUCGAGCUAGAGUCCGGAAGAGGCGAGUGGAAUUCCUGGUGUAGCGGUGAAAUGCGCAGAUAUCAGGAGGAACACCAGCGGCGAAGGCGGCGCUCUGGGCCGGAACUGACGCUGAGGAGCGAAAGCGUGGGUAGCAAACAGG
rnacentral:rRNA from 1 species